GUCAACUGCACGGUUGGCCUCUCUAAAUUACAAGUGUUGCAACCGGGUGCAUUUCUUGUUGCCAAGGAGGUCCUCAACCUACUAGCUGUAAUUGGACCGUAGCACAUAUCUUCUUUAUCUUAUCCUGGUUCACAGUUAUCUUAGCGGUUAUUCUGUGAAUGACUGCUUCUAUAGAAAAUAGUAGUGUGAAUGGGAAUGCAUUCGUACUAUGCCCUGUUGCGGAUCCUGGACUCUCUGCUAGUGGUGCCGUUUUCUCGCUUGUGACUGUGGUGUUGGGUCAUGUAUCUUAUAUUUUAAGUUUGGAAAAGAACAGUAACAAUUCUAAUCAAGGAGGCAUAGCUAUGGCACAGCCUCAGCUUGCAGAGGCCAGUCUUUAUCAAGGUGCCACACCUAUAGGACAACCUCUCUCUCUUCUCUCUUUGAUCCAAAAUACGAUAGCUUUUGCAGUUUGGGAGAAGAUUUUAAUUGUACUGUGAUGGUUUUUAUUUAGUGAUUGUGUUUGUGGAUGAUAAUGCCAAGAUUUGGAAGGAAAAUUAGUGAACUAUAAGUUCUUUUUCUUCUCUA